AACGUACGCUGGCGGCACGCCUUAUACAUGCAAGUCGAACGCAGUAGCAAUACUGAGUGGCAAACGGGUGAGUAUAAUGUGGGAAUCUGCCUUUUGGUUUGGAAUAACACGGGGAAACUUGUGCUAAUACCGGAUAAGCCUUCACAGGGAAAGUUUUAUACGCCGAAAGAUGAGCCCGCACUUGAUUAGCUAGUUGGUGAGGUAAAAGCUUACCAAGGCAAUAAUCAAUAGCUGGUCUGAGAGGAUGAUCAGCCACAUUGGGACUGAGACACGGCCCAGACUCCUACGGGAGGCAGCAGUAAGGAAUCUUGCACAAUGGGGGAAACCCUGAUGCAGCGAUGCCGCGUGAGUGAAGAAGGCCCUUGGGUUGUAAAACUCUUUCGUCGGGGAAGAAAAUGACUGUACCCGAAUAAGAAGGUCCGGCUAACUUCG
rnacentral:rRNA from 1 species